ACAGCAGCAGCCGCGGUAAUACGGUGGGUGCAAGCGUUAUCCGGAUUUAUUGGGUUUAAAGGGUCCGUAGGCGGAUCUGUAAGUCAGUGGUGAAAUCUCACAGCUUAACUGUGAAACUGCCAUUGAUACUGCAGGUCUUGAGUAAAUUUGAAGUGGCUGGAAUAAGUAGUGUAGCGGUGAAAUGCAUAGAUAUUACUUAGAACACCAAUUGCGAAGGCAGGUCACUAAGAUUUAACUGACGCUGAUGGACGAAAGCGUGGGGAGCGAACAGGAUUAGAUACCCCAGUAGUCCCUGUCUCUUAUAA
rnacentral:rRNA from 1 species